CCUUAACUGUGGAUUAACUGUGGAUGUAAGAGGGAGCUGUCUGAAAGGGAUGUUUGGGUGCUAACCCAGAUUGUAUCCAAAAAACAUAAAUCCACGGCUGCCCAAAUCACGGCAGAAUUCAACAAUGAGCACCUCAACUCUUCUGUUUCCACCAGAACUGUUUCAUUGUCCAACCCCUGCAUUUCAAGGAUUCCAGGAUGAAUUUGGAGAAAGGGGCUGGAUUAUUGAGAGUUUGAACCUGAUCUGUGAUUUGUUGUAGUGUUUCAACCAGUUGUAAGAUUUGGCUCUAAAAUGGUGAGAACUUUA